CUCAAGCUCUGCUUGGUCAUGGGCGAUGUUCCAGAGGCUCCAGGGCCUCAGCGAGCGCGCCUGAAAAUCAGUGGCGGUGCCGCCCGACCACCAGCGUAGUGACUUAUUCAUCGCUGGAUGGAUCCGGGUUUUGCGCCCGCCAGGAAACCCAUAUCCAUAAGUUUGACCUCGGAUCAGGUAGGGAUACCCGCUGAACUUAA
rnacentral:misc_RNA from 1 species